rnacentral:rRNA from 1 species
UUGAACGCUGGCGGCAUGCCUUACACAUGCAAGUCGAACGGUAGAGGGGCAACCCUUGAGAGUGGCGAACGGGUGAGUAAUAUAUCGGAACGUGCCCAGUCGUGGGGGAUAACGCAGCGAAAGCUGCGCUAAUACCGCAUACGAUCUAUGGAUGAAAGCGGGGGAUCGCAAAGACCUCGCGCGAUUGGAGCGGCCGAUAUCAGAUUAGGUAGUUGGUGGGGUAAAAGCCCACCAAGCCGAC